rnacentral:rRNA from 1 species
GGCGGCGUGCUUAACACAUGCAAGUCGAACGAUGAUCCCAGCUUGCUGGGGGAUUAGUGGCGAACGGGUGAGUAACACGUGAGUAACCUGCCCUUGACUCUGGGAUAAGCCUGGGAAACUGGGUCUAAUACCGGAUACGACCAUCUGGCGCAUGUCAUGGUGGUGGAAAGCUUUUGUGGUUUUGGAUGGACUCGCGGCCUAUCAGCUUGUUGGUGGGGUAAUGGCCUACCAAGGCGACGACGGGUAGCCGGCCUGAGAGGGUGACCGGCCACACUGGGACUGAGACACGGCCCAGACUCCUACGGGAGGCAGCAGUGGGGAAUAUUGCACAAUGGGCGAAAGCCUGAUGCAGCGACGCCGCGUGAGGGAUGACGGCCUUCGGGUUGUAAACCUCUUUCAGUAGGGAAGAAGCGAAAGUGACGGUACCUGCAGAAGAAGCGCCGGCUAACUACGUGCCAGCAGCCGCGGUAAUACGUAGGGCGCAAGCGUUAUCCGGAAUUAUUGGGCGUAAAGAGCUCGUAGGCGGUUUGUCGCGUCUGCUGUGAAAGACCGGGGCUCAACUCCGGUUCUGCAGUGGGUACGGGCAGACUAGAGUGCAGUAGGGGAGACUGGAAUUCCUGGUGUAGCGGUGAAAUGCGCACAUAUCAGGAGGAACACCGAUGGCGAAGGCAGGUCUCUGGGCUGUAACUGACGCUGAGGAGCGAAAGCAUGGGGAGCGAACAGGAUUAGAUACCCUGGUAGUCCAUGCCGUAAACGUUGGGCACUACGUGUGGGGAACAUUCCAACGUUUUCCGGCGCCGUAGGCUAACGCAUUAAAGGCUGCCCC